GGCUCCGUGGCGCAAAUGGAUACAGCGCAUUGGACUUCUAAUUCAAAGGUUCCGGGUUCGAGUCCCGGCGGAGUCG